ACGUAGGUGGCAAGCGUUGUCCGGAUUUAUUGGGUUUAAAGGGUGCGUAGGCGGCGCUUUAAGUCAGUGCUGAAAUACUCUAGCUUAACUAGAGGGGUGGCAUUGAUACUGAAGUGCUUGAGUGGAGUCGAGGUAGGCGGAAUUGACGGUGUAGCGGUGAAAUGCUUAGAUAUCGUCAAGAACACCGAUAGUGUAGACAGCUUACUAGGCUUCAACUGACGCUGAGGCACGAAAGUGUGGGGAUCAAACAGGA
rnacentral:rRNA from 1 species